ACAUGAACACAACGCUAGAAAUGACGAAUAUCCGGAUCAGAAAUGGAAAAUUGUUGCACCCAUAGCAUUGAAUGGAUGGACAAGGCGAGGUCAU
rnacentral:ribozyme from 1 species